CAGUGUUGUCCUGCAUCCAGCACUGCUGGUGAAAAGUUUGAUGUAAAUGUCAUUCUGUUUCCCAAGUAGGGGAUUCUUCUGGUAGAAUCUGGAAUUUUCUAUACACCCUUAUUAUUCUGAAGUACCACAACAAUGUUUCUAGGUGACCAUUCGUAUUCAAUGUAGUCUGGCAUGGGUUAACCGUGGCGCUCUGGGGUCGACCCCAAUCUGAGCUCCAGAGUUGCCUGGGGCACGCUACUGACACAGGGCCAAAGCCGUGGCCAAGAAAACAUCAGUUGAGACUAGCCACCUCCAAGUGUUCAAGAGCUGCACUCGGCUACUGUGGCAAUGCGACAAUGCGGCAAUGCGGGGUCUGAAUCGAGUUACCCCGUUACUGUGGGCAACAGUAAGGUCACUGGGCCUCAAAUGCUGCCAUGUUCCUUCCACUGUACUCCUGCCUAACGGUAUAUGCUCGUUCCUUUAUCUGCAAUGUUCCUUGUGUGGUGCUUCUUGCGGAGAAAGAUCGCAUGGACAUGUGCUUCAGUACUAUUUUGUUCAGUUGUGCAAAUCCAUUAAUUUAGAAUUAAAAUACUGCAUUUUCAAAUGUUAUAGCAUUAAAUGAAACUGGGUUAUGAAUAAUACCCAGCUUCCAUCACAGGAAAAGCUGUGGUGAACCAUGCCAACUCAGAGUUCUUUGCCUCGAGUUGAAAAUCAUCAACUGAUGGGAGCUAUUAAAUUUCAAAAUUUAUCAACUACUAUGAAAUAAAACCACCUGGU